rnacentral:rRNA from 1 species
UGCAAGAAAAGGAUUUAUUCGGUACAGGAUGGGCCCGCAUCUGAUUAGCUAGUUGGUGAGAUAACAGCCCACCAAGGCAACGAUCAGUAGCCGACCUGAGAGGGUGAUCGGCCACAUUGGGACUGAGACACGGCCCAAACUCCUACGGGAGGCAGCAGUGGGGAAUAUUGCACAAUGGGCGAAAGCCUGAUGCAGCAACGCCGCGUGAAGGAAGAAGGGUUUCGGCUCGUAAACUUCUAUCAACAGGGACGAAAAAAAUGACGGUACCUGAAUAAGAAGCCCCGGCUAACUACGUGCCAGCAGCCGCGGUAAUACGUAGGGGGCAAGCGUUAUCCGGAAUUACUGGGUGUAAAGGGAGAGUAGGCGGCAUGGUAAGUUAGAUGUGAAAGCCCGAGGCUUAACCUCGGGAUUGCAUUUAAAACUAUCAAGCUAGAGUACAGGAGAGGUAAGUGGAAUUCCUAGUGUAGCGGUGAAAUGCGUAGAUAUUAGGAAGAACACCAGUGGCGAAGGCGACUUACUGGACUGAAACUGACGCUGAGGCUCGAAAGCGUGGGGAGCGAACAGGAUUAGAUACCCUGGUAGUCCACGCCGUAAACGAUGAGUGCUAGGUGUCGGGGGGGAACCCUCNNUGCCGCNGCUAACGCAAUAAGCACUCCNCCUGGGGAGUACGAUCGCNAGAUUGAAACUCAUAGGAAUUGACGGGGGCCCGCNCAANCGGUGGAGCAUGUGGUUUAAUUCUNAGCAACGCGAAGAACCUUNCCAAGGCUUGACAUCCCUCUGACCGGUGUAGAGAUACACCUUCUCUUCUNAGCAGAGGUGACAGGUGGUGCAUGGUUGUCGUCAGCUCGUGUCGUGAGAUGUUGGGUUAAGUCCCGCAACGAGCGCAACCCCUAUUCUUAGUAGCCAUCAUUCAGUUGGGCACUCUACGGAGACUGCCGUGGAUAAC